GCCCCCUCUGCAGGAGAGAGAGCCGUGAAACCCACGCUCCGCCGAAGGCGCAAACUCCCAUAAUCGCUCAGGCAUAACGAACUGCAGAAAUUGA
rnacentral:ncRNA from 1 species